AUGUAUUCUAUCCUACCAUCUCUCAAGGACGCCCCAGCCCCCAAUACGAUCUGCCGCCGAGAUAUGAGUCGAUCCGCCGCCGCUGGCCAGGCUCUCCACGAUGUGCGCGCCAGGGCGCCGCUCCCGCUCUCGAGCAUAGCAGCAGCGGCGGAGCCCCGCCGCCGGCGAGCUCUCUCUGGCGGAGGAGGGCGGGGGCGAGCUCGCCGUCUCCCUCGCGCUCAAGAAUCUCUUCUCCCACGCCGUCGCCCGCUUCACGGCCUACUUCGGCCUCAUGCUCCUGCAUCGACCGGCUCUUCGGCGCGGAGGACGUCCAUCAGGCGGCGGGCGAGAUCUCCGGCCGGGAUGGGCCACUGCCUCCACCAUCACCGCCUCUUCGUUGCCGCCGCCGCCGACAUGUGCGAGGGAUGCCUGUCUUCUUCAAAGAACGAGAUGAAUGAAGGAUGCAGAGGAGACAGGCUCCAUGGCGUGUUCCUGCUGGCACACCUCCGAGCUAGCCGAUGCUUAGUAUACCGGUGUUCUGCUGCAUCCGUCAACUUGUUGGACAACUGUACACGUAUGUGUUUUUUCAAGCCCACUGAUUUUAGCCUCUCCGUCUCCUUCAAGCCGGUGAAUGAGAAGUUCAGGGAUAUUCCUGGGAGUGCCUAUUAUGUGGCUCCGGAGGUGCUGAAGCGGAUAUAUGGAGCCGAUAAUUGCAUAUGGAGUGCUGGAGUUAUACUCUACAUUCUGCUGUCUGGCAUUCCUCCUUUUUGGGCAGCAGGGCAGGUGCGUUCUCUGGCUGGUUAUGUCAAUCAAUUUUGGGGCUGUGAUGGAUGCAAAGACUGGAAGGAUGUCGUACUAACCUUAAUUCAACAUCUGGAAUGGCUUAUGAUGGCAUGGGGUUCCAUCAUUUCGGCUGCUUGCGGCGGGGAGUGUGGCCGGUGCUUGCGGCAGCAGCGAAGCAGCGUGCGUGAGCGCAGUGUAGGCAGUGGCCAAAGGCUCAUCGGCCGCUGCGAGUACGCCGUUGGCACCAGCCGGCAAGAAUCCAUUGAGUCUUCCUCUAUGUGUGCAACCUUGCCAGCAUGGGAAUCAAUCAAGGUAGGGGCAGCCAACGUCAAAUGGAUGGGGUUGAGGGCUGGGAGAAAGAUGUUGCAUUGCAAGAAGAAGUUGUAUUCUGAUGUGAUUGAAGAAUAUAGGAGGGACAAAGAGAUGUGCUAUUGCCAGGACAGUUAUGACUCUCUAUUAAGGAUAGAAAGGUUGUUGAUUGCUUCAAGAGUUAAUAACGAGGGACCUAGCGAGAAAUGUCCUGUUAAGACGGGAAUCCGAGCGCCCGUAGCAACGCACGGGUGUACUACUAAUAGAGAUAGUACCACACUGCUGGCUGAGCACGACGUGCACCUGCAUAUAUACGUACCACCAACCGUCCGUCACAGCUGCCGGGCGUGGUGGCGCACGCUUGUAACUCCAGCCUCGGAGGGCUAA
rnacentral:rRNA from 1 species